rnacentral:rRNA from 1 species
GACGAACGCUGGCGGCGUGCCUAAUACAUGCAAGUCGAGCGAACAGGCGCGGAUCUUGCUCCUCUGACGUUAGCGGCGGGCGGGUGAGUAACGCGUGGUUCACCUACCUAUAAGACUGGUAUAGCUUCGGGAAACCAGAACUAAUACCGGAUCAUAUCUUCAACCUCAUGGUUCGAUAGUUAAAGACGGUUUUGCUGUCACUGCUAGAUGUAUCCGCGCCGCAUUAGCUAGUUGGUAAGGUGACUUCGUACCAAGGCAAGGAUGCGUAGACGACCUGCGAGGCGGAUAGGCGACACUGGAAGUGAGACACGGUCAAGACGCCUAAGGGAGGCAGCAGUAGGGAAUCUUACGCAAUGGGCGAAAGCAUGACGGAGCAACGCCGAGUGAGUGAUGAAGGUCUCCGGAUCGUAAAAAUCUGUUAUUAGGGAAGAACAAAUGUGUAAGUAACUGUGCACGUCUUGACGGUACCUAAUCAGAAAGCCACGGCUAACUACGUG